rnacentral:lncRNA from 1 species
CUAAGAAAUCCUGUUGCUAUAAAAGCAUCAUAUUGUUUGAGAACAUUACUGCAAGGAGAAUAUCUAGGCAGCUCUACAUAUAAAAUCUGGAUUUUAACAUUUCCCAGUAGAUUAUCUAAUGGUUUUCUACCUGAGUUUUUCUGAGAGGCUGGAAGCAUUGAUGGGCGAUAGACUGAUAGACUGAUAACAUUAUAUGAAAGGAUGGGGUAAUUCUGCUUCAAGACACACACCAAACUGUGGGUACCUGCCAGGUACACAUUGACUUAAAAUUCAAGAACACCUGAACAGACCUACAGUCAAAGGCAGAAUUAAAGGUGCUGUGUGGUGUCUGCACUGGGAUGAACUCAGCAAACCUUCCUGAUCAAAACAAUAACUCUCUAAAUGUAUUAUAAAAAUCAGCAGAGAAAACUAUUGAAGUUACUGAAAUGCUGAAUAUAACUAAGAUAAUUGUUCCUUGGAAAGCUGAAAAGUCUUAUGAUAGGCACACCGGAUAGAAUAAGAAUUGAUUGUUUCUCUUUAAGAGGGAGCCUAGGUCAUUUCCAGAUGAAAACUGAACACUGUUGACUAGAUACUCUUUGACUGAAGAAAUAUUUAGAUGAUUCAUUCCAUUAUGACUAAAAAGCAGAUGAUAUUUGCGAGCAUGCCUUAUGCCAGCAGUAUUACAUUCCCUGUAAAAAUCAUGAACCGAAGGGGACUAUUGGAAGCAGUUAAUCUUCCAUGUUUUAGCACUGGUUAACACAAAGCAGAGGCAAUGUACGCACAACAGUUUCAUGCAAUGACGCUAGACGUACACUGUGGGAACUGCAGUAGAGUCCACCUGAAUGCACUGCAGAAGGGCUUUGAACAAUUCAUUUCCACAUGCCAAGUAAAAGACCACAAAAAGCUGGUUUUCCGUGGUACAGGAGAAUGGUUUCGCACCAGCUUCACUUUCAUCUAUAGAAUGGCGUCAGACUUGGAAGCACAUUUGGAGCUAAGGUAUGGAACCAAAUCUCUACAUGAGGAGAAAAUGAGACCCACUGGCAUUCAUCAAUACUUAUACAUUUAUGGAGACUAAACAGUGGAUAUCAACACAGUGAGACAAUGAGAGAGCUAUGGAGAAAAGAUUCACUGUCUCAAGAGAAACCUGUACUGCAGGGGAAACUGAAGACUGAACUCAUGGACUUGGGUAGACUUUCUGAUAUCCUGGAUCGUCUCUUCUGAAUACUGAAAGUAAGACUGACAAACAGUACAACCAAAGUCUUAACUCACAUGCAAUUUCAAGAGGUAGAAUAUAAGCACAUAGUUUCCUUUCAUUGAUUUUAAUUUGCAGUAUAAGCAAAACAGUCUCAUUAACAAUUUCUCACACCAGAAUUUACUUUCAUUUCUGCUAUCAUUUUUAAUUUGUUUCUUCAAACGUUUGGUCAAUGAUAAAGGUAAGCAAUUUUCACUUGUUGAUUUCUUUAUUUCAGUAUAAACUGUCAUAUCUCAGGCAUAUCUCAGGUAAACAAUAUGUCUUCAGUUAAAGGAUUCCUUCAUGAUAUUAGUGAGGUUAACUGAAAGGAGUUAAGACUCUCCCUCAGGAAAGCAAAUCUUAAAAGAUGAAAGGUUGAAAGUUCACAAAGAUGGAUUCAUGUAAAGACUCAACUUCUGCAAUGCAAUCAUAUUCAAAAACAAAAUUACUGAAUCUAAUCCAUCUGUCCAUAGUACACAGUAUACAAAUAUACAUCAAAAAGUUG